AGGACCGAACCCACGUACGUUGAAAAGUGCGGGGAUGACUUGUGGAUAGCGGUGAAAUUCCAAUCGAGCCUGGAGAUAGCUGGUUCUCCCCGAAAUAGCUUUAGGGCUAGCCUCAAGCUUAGAGAAACGGAGGUAGAGCACUGAAUGUCCUAGGGGGUAUUGCACUUACCGAAGACUAUCAAACUCCGAAUGCCGUAUUCUUUUGCUUGGGAGUCAGACUAUGGGUGAUAAGAUUCAUAGUCAAGAGGGCAACAGCCCAGAUCGUCAGCUAAGGUCCCUAAAUGUAAGUUAAGUGGUAAAGGAUGUGGGAUUGCACAGACAACCAGGAUGUUGGCUUAGAAGCAGCCACUCAUUUAAAGAGUGCGUAAUAGCUCACUGGUCGAGUGAUUCUGCGCCGAAAAUUUCCGGGGCUAAAACUUACUACCGAAGCUACGGCAUCAUUAUGAUGGGUAGGGGAGCUUUCUAUGCGGCUUGAAGCAUGACCGUAAGGACAUGUGGACUGCAUAGAAGUGAGAAUGUUGGCAUGAGUAGCGAGAUGUGGGUGAGAAUCCCACAGGCCGUAAACCCAAGGUUUCCAGGGGAAGGUUCGUCCGCCCUGGGUUAGUCAGGACCUAAGCCGAGGCCGAAAGGCGUAGGUGAUGGACAACAGGUUGAUAUUCCUGUACCACCAAUAACCGUUUGAGAAAUGGGAUGACACAGUAGGAUAAGCUAACCGCACUGUUGGUUAUGUGCGGGCAAGUAUUGAGGCAGUUCAGGUAGGCAAAUCCGCCUGAAUAAUGCUGGGGUACGAUGCGGAGCGAAAUUAAGUAGCGAAGUAGCUGAUUUCACACUGUCGAGAAAAGUCUCUAUCGAGGUUAAAGGUGCCUGUACCGCAAACCGACACAGGUGGGUGAGGAGAGUAUCCUAAGGCCAGCGAGAGAACUGUUGUUAAGGAACUCGGCAAAAUGACCCCGUAACUUAGGGAGAAGGGGUGCCUUCGAAAGAAGGCCGCAGAGAAUAGGCCCAAGCGACUGUUUACCAAAAACAUAGGUUUCUGCUAAGUCGCAAGACGAUGUAUAGGAGCUGACGCCUGCCCGGUGCUGGAAGGUUAAGGGGAUCUGUUAGGGUAACCGAAGCAGUGAACUUAAGCCCCAGUAAACGGCGGCCGUAACUAUAACGGUCCUAAGGUAGCGAAAUUCCUUGUCGGGUAAGUUCCGACCCGCACGAAAGGCGUAACGAUUUGGGCACUGUCUCAACAACAGACUGGGUGAAAUUGUAAUACCGGUGAAGAUGCCGGUUACCUGCGACAGGACGGAAAGACCCCAUGGAGCUUUACUGUAGCUUGACAUUGAGUCUCGGUGCUACAUGUACAGGAUAGGUGGGAGGCUAUGAAGCAUGGACGUCAGUCUGUGUGGAGCCAUCCUUGGGAUACCACCCUUGUAGUACUGGGAUUCUAACCAGCUGCCUUGAAUCAGGUAGUGGGACACUGUCAGGUGGACAGUUUGACUGGGGCGGUCGCCUCCCAAAAAGUAACGGAGGCGCUCAAAGGUUCUCUCAGUACGGUCGGAAAUCGUACGUAGAGUGUAAAGGCAGAAGAGAGCUUGAUUGCAAGACAUACAGGUCGAGCAAGGACGAAAGUCGGACUUAGUGAUCCGGUGGUACCGCAUGGAAGGGCCAUCGCUCAACGGAUAAAAGCUACCCUGGGGAUAACAGGCU
rnacentral:rRNA from 1 species